rnacentral:rRNA from 1 species
UGGGGAAUAUUGGGCAAUGGGCGAAAGCCUGACCCAGCGACGCCGCGUGGGUGAUGAAGGCCUUCGGGUUGUAAAACCCUUUCGUGCGGAAAGAAUAGUCCUGUAGCGAAUAACUACGGGAUUUGACGGUACCGCAGGAAGAAGCACCGGCUAACUCCGUGCCAGCAGCCGCGGUAAUACGGAGGGUGCAAGCGUUGUUCGGAAUUAUUGGGCGUAAAGGGCGCGUAGGUGGUUGUGAUAGUCAGAUGUGAAACCCUUCGGCUCAACCGAAGAACUGCAUCUGAAACUUCAUAGCUCGAGUACAGGAGAGGGAAACGGAAUUCCCGGUGUAGAGGUGAAAUUCGUAGAUAUCGGGAGGAACACCAGUGGCGAAGGCGGUUUCCUGGCCUGAUACUGACGCUGAGGCGCGAAAGCGUGGGGAGCAAACA